rnacentral:rRNA from 1 species
UAUCACGGCCAUAUCACCCUGUAGCCCAAGACUGGUUGCCCACUGAAGCUAAGCAGGGCUGAGCCUGGUCAGUACCUGGAUGGGAGACCUCCUGGGAAAACUAGGUUGCUGCUGGAA